rnacentral:lncRNA from 1 species
GCAGCCGAACUAAGUGGGUUGUGAAAAUUGUAUUGCCCAUAUACAGCUUGGAGGAACUCGUGGACAAAGAUGUUUGGAGUCAGAGUAAAUUGAGGAUGUUUAGAAAUAGGUCUUGCAAGCGGUUUCCUUCAAACCAGCGGUCAGACCAAAAGAGAGUUCGUUCUCCAUUUCCUAUUCUGCUCUCUGUGCAUAUGUUUAACAGUGGGUGGACCUUUAGGAUACUUUUCCAUGAUUGGGAUGCCUUCGAAGGUCAUGG